UACAGAGGGUGCGAGCGUUGAUCGGAAUUACUGGGCGUAAAGCGCGCGUAGGCGGCUUUGCAAGUCGGGUGUGAAAUCCCCAGGCUUAACCUGGGAACUGCAUUCGAGACUGCAUUGCUAGAGUAUGGGAGAGGGAAGUGGAAUUUCCGGUGUAGCGGUGAAAUGCGUAGAUAUCGGAAGGAACAUCAGUGGCGAAAGCGACUUCCUGGACCAAGACUGACGCUCAGGUGCGAAAGCGUGGGGAGCAAACAGG
rnacentral:rRNA from 1 species